rnacentral:snoRNA from 1 species
AACCCAUGGUAAGGGCACCUUCUUAAAAGAUCCUUAAAUCUCUCCCAUACGUCAUAUAAUGUCUCCAAAUCAAUUUGAGCAAAAGAAGAGAUGUCGUUUCUAAACUU